rnacentral:lncRNA from 1 species
UUCAUAUCACCAAGUAUUCAUAUCACCAACAUUAAAAUUAAACUGCCCUUAAGCCGAGUCUUAGGCUUAUUCAUGCUAGGUACAUACCCAUCCCCUCUUUUUGAAGCAUUAAUUAAGCUGAAAUUUAAUAGCUCCUUAUGUGAUAGUGAUCGAAGACUAAAGAAAACAGUAAUGAAAAACAACCAUUAAUUUUAGUCUGUACCAGGCAUUAAAAAGGAUAGCACACCUUCGCAACGAACUGCAACCUGCACUGGGACAAUAUUAUCUGCCAACUAAUGCUGAUAACUACGUAUCUCCAAACCCAAG